GCAUGUCAUUGACAAUUUUGACAUUAAAUUUGAGAACAAUUGUCAAUGUCAUGUUUGCUCGAACUCGAAGACUAUUUUUGUACCAAUAAAUUAUUACAUUAAUAAUACAGUUAAAAAACCUUUUGGAGGAAGUAAAUCUUUACAUUUACAAUGAAUAAAAACUAUGAGAGAUGUACUCAUUGUAAUCGUCGCAAAUGGCUUGCUACAGGUUGUCUACGUAAGUGGUUAAAACCACUGGAAUGUAAACAUUUGCAGCGAACUGUUGAUAACAAAAGAGAUUUUAACAACACAGAUAUUGUUAACGGCGUAUUUCUACCAGAACGCAAGCCUUCCGUUAACACAAACAAAUUCGUGAAAUUUUGGAAAAAUAAGUUGUUUAUUACUGGCAAUGUGAGGACUUUGCAGAGGUACUUUGGGAAUAAAAAUAAUGGUGGAGAACAUUUAUGCAGUCUUAACAAAUGUAGUGGUGAUGCAUCGACAUCAUCCGAGAAAAGAGUUAUAGUUGCUUCUGGAUAUGAAACAAAAAGGAUUUUCAGUUGAACAAACAAGCAAUCAAAUGCCAACAUUCAGAUGGUCAUUCAGUACUCGAGGACACCACCAACAUGCCUCACUUGAAACUUGUGCAAUUUAUUGUCAGUUGUCAAAGCAUGGCUGGUAUUGGGGUGGCAUCACGUCAAGUGAAGCUGAAGAAUUGCUAGCUGGACAGCAUGACAAUGUAUUUUUAGUCAGAGACUCAUGUGACUCCCGUCAUAUACUUUGUGUGUCUUUUCGUUGUGUGGGCCGCACACUGCAUGCUCGUUUGCGACAUGCCAAUGGACUCUUUUCACUGAACAAUGAGACAUUUGUACCAGCAAACAGAAUAUCAGAGCACUGUGCAGCUGUGGAUGUCAAGUCAAACCUUUUGAGAUGCCAGUGAAGUUAGCAAGGCCACUGAACAGAUUUGCAAAACUGGACUCUUUACAAAUGAUUUGCAGAUUUGUUAUAAGACAAACUGUGUCAGCACAUGUAUGGAGCAAGUUGCCACUGCCACCCAACUUAAUAUCUUAUGUCUCAAUUGGCAGUGAUUACAUAGUACCAUCAUAGCUAACACUUAUGUGCCUUCAGUACUCAUAGCAUUAUGUUUAUUGUAAGCAUAUUUACAUACAUACAACAUUUUAUAAGAGACUGCCACAUUAUAACUAUAUGAUGAAUAUAAAAAUGUAAAUUUUAUACUGAAGUCAAUAUUUUAUUAGAAAAUUAUGAAGAUAAAAUAAAAAAUAAUAAUAUCAAAUUAGCCAUUAAACUAUUUAUUACAAGCAACUAAAUAUGAAUAAUACUUGAAAUGUCUGUUAAUUCAAAAUAUUUUCUCAGUGUGGAAAUGUUUAAUAUAACCAUCACUUAUUUCCCUAAUAUAAUCUUCAUAUUACUUCAAUGUAUUAAUUCCGAGCAUAUUCUUGGCCUGAAAUAUAAAAACGCCAAGUUAGCAGAAUAGUCAAAUUAAUUAAAUUUAAAAAGUAUGAUAUUCAUAGUACUCCAAGAUAUAAUAACAAUGAAUAAAAGUAUUUACACAAAUAA